rnacentral:tRNA from 1 species
GCCGACGUAGCUCAGUGGUAGAGCACUUCCAUGGUAAGGAAGGGGUCUCGGGUUCAAAUCCCGACGUCGGCU